rnacentral:misc_RNA from 1 species
AGACAAAAGGAAUAUCAGAAAUUGCAUGCUCAAUUACCCAAGAUAAGAAGAAAAAAAGAAAUCUGUAGCGAGUAAAAAACUGUCACACCAACAGAACUACAUUAAGUACUGUAGUUGAAAUGAGCUAAACUUGUAAGGUAAUAUCACUCAUCCACAAGCUCAAAUGCAUGCAGGUAUGCAAUUUAGCUUUCCUUCUUAACUAAAUUUGCAGAGAUAAAGGGAAGUGACAGAACAAACAAGAAGGCAUAAAAUCUUGUGUUCCAAUGCCCAAUACAAUAUAAUCUUCUGGAAAAAACAAACAGAAAAAACAAGAAAAUCAAAGGAUUACAAAAGCUAGCAUACUCGAGAUCCGCUAUUCUGAGCACAUUGAGCAAUCCAAAUUAAGCUUUAAAUGAAAAGAUUUAGAUCGCCACUGAUUCAGAUCUUGAAACUAUAGAAUAGAAUUGUACCUUGUCCAGGGAUUG